UACAGAGGUGGCAAGCGUUGUUCGGAAUUACUGGGCGUAAAGGGCGCGUAGGCGGUUCGUUAAGUCCUGUGUGAAAUCCCCCGGCUCAACUGGGGAACUGCACAGGAAACUAGCGGGCUUGAGUUCGGGAGAGGGAAGCGGAAUUCCGGGUGUAGCGGUGAAAUUCGUAGAUAUUAGGAAGAACACCAGUGGCGAAGGCGGCUCACUGGUCCGGUACUGACGCUGAGGUGCGAAAGCGUGGGGAGCAAACAGG
rnacentral:rRNA from 1 species